CCUGGUCUAUGAUGACUUCUGUCUGGAGACUGUUGGAUGAGUCCUGCGGAUAUGGGGCUGAGGCCAAGG
rnacentral:snoRNA from 1 species